rnacentral:rRNA from 1 species
GAUAAACGCUGACAGAAUGCUUAACACAUGCAAGUCGAUGAUGAGUAUAAUAGCUUGCUAUUAUACAAGUCAUGGCGGACGGGUGAGUAACGCGUAAAGAACUUACCCUCUAGACUGGAAUAACAGGGAGAAAUUUCUGAUAAAACUAGAUAAGUUAGUAAUAGGCAUCUAUUACAAAUGAAACACUAAAUGUGCUAGAGGAGAGCUUUGCGUCCUAUUAGCUAGUUGGUAAGGUAAAAGCUUACCAAGGCGGUGAUAGGUAGCCGGCCUGAGAGGGUGGACGGCCACAAGGGGACUGAGAUACGGCCCUUACUCCUACGGGAGGCAGCAGUGGGGAAUAUUGGACAAUGGAGGAAACUCUGAUCCAGCAAUUCUGUGUGCACGAAGACGGUUUUAGGAUUGUAAAGUGCUUUUAGUUGGGAAGAAAAAAAUGACGGUACCAACAGAAGAAGCGACGGCUAAAUACGUGCCAGCAGCCGCGGUAAUACGUAUGUCGCAAGCGUUAUCCGGAAUUAUUGGGCUUAAAGGGCAUCUAGGCGGUAUAACAAGUUGAAGGUGAAAAGCUGUGGCUCAACCAUAGUCUUGCCUACAAAACUGUAAUACUAGAGUGCUGGAAAGGUGGGUGGAACUACACGAGUAGAGGUGAAAUUCGUAGAUAUGUGUAGGAAUGCCGAUGAUGAAGAUAACUCACUGGACAGCAACUGACGCUGAAGUGCGAAAGCUAGGGGAGCAAACAGG